AAUGAACGCUGGCGGCAGGCUUAACACAUGCAAGUCGAGCGAGAAAGCACCUUCGGGUGUGAUUAAAGCGGCAAACGGGUGAGUAACAUGUGGGAACGUACCUCAAAGUUUGGGAUAGCCCCGGGAAACUGGGAUUAAUACCGAAUGUGCUCUACGGAGUAAAGAUUUAUCGCUUUGAGAUCGGCCCGCACUAGAUUAGCUAGUUGGUGAGGUAAUGGCUCACCAAGGCAACGAUCUAUAGUUGGUCUGAGAGGAUGAUCAGCCACACCGGGACUGAGAUACGGCCCAG
rnacentral:rRNA from 1 species